UACGUAGGUGGCAAGCGUUGUCCGGAUUUAUUGGGUUUAAAGGGUGCGUAGGCGGCCCUGUAAGUCAGCGCUGAAAUAUCCCGGCUUAACCGGGAGGGUGGCAUUGAUACUGCAGGGCUUGAGUAAAGUUGAGGUUGGCGGAAUUGACGGUGUAGCGGUGAAAUGCUUAGAUAUCGUCAAGAACACCGAUAGUGAAGACAGCUAACUGAGCUUUAACUGACGCUGAGGCACGAAAGUGUGGGGAUCAAACAGG
rnacentral:rRNA from 1 species